rnacentral:lncRNA from 1 species
GCCAGUCUCACAGUGGGGGCUGCGUUUACUGCCUGCUCUGAUUUACUGUGAGACAGAUAAGUCAGGGCAAGCAGCAGGGAUUUUUAAAGCUGACUUCUCUUUUUGGCUGAACACCUAUAAACUGUCACUACCCUGUCCUCCCACCCCAAGCCUGUGAGAGGAAGGAAGUGUGGGCUAAGCCAUUUACACAGAGCACUUCAAAGUCUCUGUUAGGACCCCACAUCAGCUCCCAGCCUCAUGCUUACUGGUAGCUGCAGCACAGCGACCCUCCAAGCACAGCUCCGGCAUGGUGUAUGUGUGUGAGGAUGGCAGUGGUUCCUUUUACUGAGGACUGCAAUUUCACUCUAACACAGGCAAGAAGCAUUACACUACAACCAAGAAAAGUAAGAAAUGACCAGUUUUAACUGCCCAAAUGACACCAGAUAAUUGAACUCAUAUUGGAGCCUAUUCAGUCUUCAGGGCCUGCCUGAUGCUCUACUGCAGCCACCACCACCUCCCGGAAA